GACGAACGCUGGCGGCGUGCUUAACACAUGCAAGUCGAACGGAUAGUCCCUGCUUUUGUGGUGCUCUCCAGUGGCGAAGUGUUGAGUGACACGUGAGUAACCUGCUCUUUACUUUGGGCUACAUUCAGGAAACUGGGGCUAAUACCGGAUCGAAUCUCCUGUUACUUGGUGUGGGUUGGGAAGGUUCGGUGGUUGGGGAUGUACUCGCGGCUUAUCAUCUUGUUGGGGGGGUAUUGGCUUUCCAAGGCUUUGACGGGUAGCAGGCCUGAGAGGGUGACCGGGCACAUUGGGACUGGGGUGCGGCCCAGACUCCUACGGGAGGAAGCAGUGGGGAAUAGUGCACAAUGGGCGGAAGCCGGAUGCAGCAACGCCGCGUGCGGGAUGACGGCCUUCGGGUUGUAAACCGCUUUCGCCUGUGACGAAGCGUGAGUGACGGUAAUGGGUAAAGAAGCACCGGCUAACUACGUG
rnacentral:rRNA from 1 species